GGAAUAUUGGACAAUGGGCGAAAGCCUGAUCCAGCCAUGCCGCGUGUGUGAAGAAGGUCUUCGGAUUGUAAAGCACUUUAAGUUGGGAGGAAGGGCAUUAACCUAAUACGUUAGUGUUUUGACGUUACCGACAGAAUAAGCACCGGCUAACUCUGUGCCAGCAGCCGCGGUAAUACAGAGGGUGCAAGCGUUAAUCGGAAUUACUGGGCGUAAAGCGCGCGUAGGUGGUUUGUUAAGUUGAAUGUGAAAUCCCCGGGCUCAACCUGGGAACUGCAUCCAAAACUGGCAAGCUAGAGUAUGGUAGAGGGUAGUGGAAUUUCCUGUGUAGCGGUGAAAUGCGUAGAUAUAGGAAGGAACACCAGUGGCGAAGGCGACUACCUGGACUGAUACUGACACUGAGGUGCGAAAGCGUGGGGAGCAAACAGGAUUAGAUACCCGGG
rnacentral:rRNA from 1 species